UCUGCAAACAGACACCCCGGGCCGGCCCGGGGUAGUGUGGGGUUGAGGCUUUUUCUAACCCCGACCCACUAAAAACCAUUCCUCUAAGUCAAUUCACGGUAAAAGGUAAAAGCACACUGAUACAUGCUUGGUCAAUUUUAUUCAGGGAAGCACACUGAUAAAUGCUUGGUCAAUUUUAUUUAAGGAAGCACACUGAUACACGCUUGGUCAAUUUUUCACGGUAAAAGGUAAAAGCACACUGAUACAUGCUUGGUCAAUUUUUUCAGGGAAGCACACUGAUACAGGCUUGGUCAAUUUUAUUCAGGAAAGCACACUGAUACACGCUUGGUCAAUUUUUCACGGUAAAAGGUAAAAGCACACUGAUAUAUGCUUGGUCAAUUUUAUUCAGGGAACCACACUGAUACAGGCUUGGUCAAUUUUAUUCAGGGAAGCACACUGAUACAGGCUUGGUCAAUUUUAUUUAAGGAAGCACACUGAUAAAUGCUUGGUCAAUUUUAUUUAAGGAAGCACACUGAUACAUGCUUUGUAAAUUUUUCACGGUAAAAGGUAAAAGCACACUGAUACAUGCUUGUUCAAUUUUAUUCAGGGAAGCACACUGAUAAAUGCUUGGUCAAUUUUAUUUAAGGAAGCACACUGAUACAUGCUUUGUAAAUUUUUCAAGGUAAAAGGUAAAAGCACACUGAUACAUGCUUGGUCAAUUUUAUUUAGGGAAGCACACUGAUAAAUGCUUGGUCAAUUUUAUUUAAGGAAGCACACUGAUACAUGCUUUGUCAAUUUUUCACAAUAAAAGGUAAAAGCACACUGAUACAUGCUUGGUCAAUUUUAUUCAGGGAAGCACACUGAUACAGGCUUGGUCAAUUUUAUUCAAGGAAGCACACUGAUACAUGCUUUGUAAAUUUUUCACGGUAAAAGGUAAAAGCACACUGAUACAUGCUUUGUCAAUUUUAUUUAAGGAAGCACACUGAUACAUGCUUGAUCAAUUUUAUUUAAGGAAGAACACUGAUACAUGCUUUGUCAAUUUUUCACGGUAAAAGGUAAAAGCACACUGAUACAUGCUUGGUCAAUUUUAUUCAGGGAAGCACACUGAUAAAUGCUUGGUCAAUUUUAUUUAAGGAAGCACACUGAUACAUGCUUUGUCAAUUUUUCAAGGGCUUCAGCUCAUUUUCUAUAUGUUAGUUAGUUAAUUCAAGUCAAGUCACGUCAAGUUAUAAUAUGUUUAAAUAAGAUAAAUAAACUGAAAACAUAGUUUUUAAAAUCUAAAAAUGGCGCUUUCAAAUUAUGAAAAUUAACAUAUCAAACGAAAUUUAUACAUCACAAAUAUCUUUGCUGCUUAUCUACCAUUGGAUAUUAAUUCCUUUAGAUUUGAUUAAAUUUAAGUCAUAAAAAUCCGUAUAUCAAUUAUAAUAUGA